rnacentral:rRNA from 1 species
UAGGGAAUAUUGGUCAAUGGGCGAAAGCCUGAACCAGCCAUGCCGCGUGGGGGAUGAAGGCCUUCGGGUCGUAAACCCCUUUUCUGAGGGAAGAACAACCGGGAUUAAUACCCCCGGCCUGACGGUACCUCAGGAAUAAGCAACGGCCAACUCCGUGCCAGCAGCCGCGGUAAUACGGAGGUUGCAAGCGUUGUUCGGAAUUACUGGGCGUAACGGGAGCGCAGGCGGUUGGGUAAGUCUGAGGUGCAAGUCCGAGGCUUAACCUCGGAAGUGCUGUGGAUACU